rnacentral:lncRNA from 1 species
UGAAUCUAUAUCAGAGCCGAGAUAAACCAUGGCUAAAGAAACUGAAUUCGAACAGCAAAAGAUGGUGAGUUGUUUUCUUUUCUCUGGUAAAUUAAUUUAGGCCAUAUAUUGCAUCAUAGUCUUUCGAGACAUGGUCUGGAACUCAGUAAUCUUCAAAGCGGUUAUAAUGAGCUGGAAUUUUAUGUUGAGCUAGCCUGCGUGGCAGAAAUGUUUUACCAAUGUAAGUUAGUGAAAGACAAAAUACUUAUUUAAAGAUCAAAGGGGAUUCAAGUGAAUACAAUGAUUUUCUCAUUGAAAAUAAGCAUGCUACGAAUUUGCUAAAUUUUUCGACUUUGUUUUCCAAUUUACGGAGUAUAGAAAUAAUUGACCUCAAAAUCGGGUAAAACGUUUGGGUAAAACUUUCAAAAACGCGAUAACGCAGUGCUUUUGCGACUACCUAGAGUCUGUAUGGUAACGUGUCAUUUCAUAUUUUUUUUGAAAACAGCAAAAAGUUUCCAAAAUUGAUAGUAGAGAAUUGUUUGUAUAAAAAGAUCGAAGCAACAAUACCUUAAAAGCACGAAAUCGUGCCUGGAAUAUUUUCGAUUGUAGUCUUUUCUGAAAACAAAAUAUUAAUUGGAAUCUAGCACCAAGCAUUUCCUCUUUUUCAUCGUCAGUUGGUGUUGAUAAUAAAAGCAAGAUGAUAGUAAAAUUUUCUCUUGCCAUUCUUUUAAAAUUUUUUCCUAACAUUUUUAUUGCAUACUUUUUAGGUAGAGUGAUAUAAAGACAACAACUGGAUGACACAAUUCAAGUGAGAGCAAAGAGGAACAAGCAGAUGAGAAAGUAGUAGAAAACGUCGACAGAAUGACGAUCAAAAGAAGCGACAAAAUAUCCAAAGAUGAUAAGCAAAUGUACGAUAUGUCACUGUUAUUUAUGUUACAUUUAUUUUUUAUGCAUUACUCAUUAAGUAUGCUACCGCAUUUCAUUUUCACCCAGAUUUUGUAUUUUUUAUAACACGUUAAGUUUAGUAUUUUUUUAUUUAUACAACUUAAGUCAAAUUUAGCGUUCAAACCAUUUGCAUGCAAGUCAUAUCGUUGCGCUUCUUAACAGAAUUUUUUCUCAUUUUUAAGGGUGAUUUACUGUACAUUGAGCAGACCAUGAUGGAUCAUCAACAGAAAUGAAGAACCGCGACCAACGUACAAACAGAAGCAAUGACGAUGCAAAGAUACAGUGAAUGUAA